rnacentral:rRNA from 1 species
UACAGGGGGGGGCGAGCGUUGUUCGGAAUUAUUGGGCGUAAAGGGCGCGUAGGCGGUUCGAUAAGUCGGAUGUGAAAGCCCCGGGCUCAACCCGGGAAGUGCACUCGAUACUGUCGAGCUAGAGUAUCGGAGAGGUUGGUGGAAUUCUCGGUGUAGAGGUGAAAUUCGUAGAUAUCGAGAGGAACACCGGUGGCGAAGGCGGCCAACUGGACGAAUACUGACGCUGAGAACUCGAAAGCGUGGGGAGCAAACAGG